UACGGAGGGGGCUAGCGUUGUUCGGAAUUACUGGGCGUAAAGCGCACGUAGGCGGCUUUGCAAGUUAGAGGUGAAAGCCCGGGGCUUAACCCCGGAAUUGCCUUUAAAACUGCAUCGCUAGAAUUGUGGAGAGGACGAUGGAAUUGGGGGUGUAGCGGUGGAAUGCGUAGAGAUCCCCAAGAACACCAGUUGCGAAGGCGGUCGUCUGGACACAUAUUGACGCUGAGGCUCGAAAGCAUGGGGAGCAAACAGG
rnacentral:rRNA from 1 species